CCAAUAGCGUAUAUUAAAGUUGUUGCAGUUAAAAAGCUCGUAGUUGAAUUUCGGGAUUUGUCAGUUGGUCGGGCUUCACUGUCCGUAUUGACUUGAUGGAUUCUUACCUUCUGAAUAACCAGCAUGCUAUUAAGUUAGUGCGUUGGGGAAGCAGAUCUAUUACCUUGAAAAAAUUAGAGUGCUUAAAGCGAGCUAGUGCUUGAAUAGAUUAGCAUGGGAUAAUAAAAUAGGACGGCAUGGUUCUAUUUUGUUGGUUUCUAGGAUCACCGUAAUGAUUAAUAGGGAUAGUUGGGGGCAUUAGUAUUCAAUUGUCAGAGGUGAAAUUCUUGGAUUUAUUGAAGACUAACUUCUGCGAAAGCAUUUGCCAAGGAUGUUUUCAUUAAUCAAGAACGAAAGUUAGGGGAUCGAAGACGAUCAGAUACCGUCGUAGUCUUAACCAUAAACUAUGCCGACUAGGAAUCGGACGAUGUUAAUUUUAUAAUGACUCGUUCGGCACCUUACG
rnacentral:rRNA from 1 species